AAAGCUGAAACUUAAAAGAAUUGACGGAAGGGCACCACCAGGAGUGGAGCCUGCGGCUUAAUUUGACUCAACACGGGAAAUCUCACCAGGCCCGGACACCGGAAGGAUUGACAGAUUGAUAGCUCUUUCUUGAUUCGGUGGGUGGUGGUGCAUGGCCGUUCUUAGUUGGUGGAGCGAUUUGUCUGGUUAAUUCCGAUAACGAACGAGACUCUGGCCUACUAACUAGACAUUAAAUCCUUUAUGGGUUUAUUGAUGCUUCUUAGAGGGACGGGCGGCUUUUAGCCGCACGAGAAUGAGCAAUAACAGGUCUGUGAUGCCCUUAGAUGUUCUGGGCUGCACGCGCGCUACACUGAAGAAAUCAGCGUGUGUACCCUAUCCGAAAGGAUUGGGAAACCCGUUGAACCUUCUUCGUGAUGGGGAUUGGGGAUUGAAAUUAUUCCCCAUGAACGAGGAAUUCCCAGUAGGCGCGAGUCAUAAGCUUGCGUCGAUUACGUCCCUGCCCUUUGUACACACCGCCCGUCGCUACUACCGAUCGAGUGAUUUAGUG
rnacentral:rRNA from 1 species